GUUGCUGCGUCAGAAUUUUUUUGUGGUAGUAUAAUUGACGGCUGAAGGAAAAACAAGAAAGGAUGAAAGAAAAAGAAGCUGAGAGAAUACAUAUGUUUACAAGAGCUCUGUUUCUGUUUGAAACAUUUCUCCUAGAACAAAGUCGAAGAACGGAAGGGUAGCAAAUUCUCUUGGAAAUAAACUAUGAAGCCUGACAGAGGUUUGAAAAGCGCGCGCUUGCGCGGCGUCGCUCGCCGGCCAAUCAGAGCGCGCCGCGGAGCGACCAAUCAGAGCCCGCGUUGCGCAACG